CACGGCAAGAGCGGUAAAGAUGCCCGCCAACCCCGCCGAGCCGAGCCGAGCCGAGCCGAGCCGAGAUUGUUCGAGAAUUUCUCACGCCUCUUUGUAGGUACAUAUGACAAUAAUAAACUAAACUAAAUAAUGUUUCCUCUGGAGCCAAUUAUUCAACCAAGGAAUAUCUCUUUGGAUGUGGGAGAAAACCAGAGGACCCACCAUGGGGAGAACAUGCAAACAAUGUACAAACAUUACAGGAAAUCCUAGGUUACUGCAGCAGCGAAGCACCAGCUCUACCAGUUGACAAAUUGAAAAAUGACAUUCUAGUUUCCACAAAGCACAUAUAUGUAUCAGAGAUGCUACAAGAUAGAUACUGAAAAAAUAUUAAACGGACACAAGAAACUGCAAAUGGUGGAAUCUUGAGCAAAACAAAGUACUGAGGAACUCAGGGGUUCAGGCAGCAUCUGUGAAGGGAAUGAACAGAAGAUAUUUCAGGACACAAGAACUAAGGCACCACCGGUUCCACGCAGGAUAUUUGAAAAGGCUCCUCUGAAGAAAGCAGUAAACCCCUCGUUUUUAUAGAUCUUAUGAAAGCAAUCCAGCGUUCCAGUGUACUGUCUUUCUGCUUCACC